GGUAAAGUGGCCGAAUGAUAGGCAGUAGUUUGUAGUCCUACUUACAUUGGUUUAAUUCCUUUCUUUAUCA
rnacentral:tRNA from 1 species